rnacentral:rRNA from 1 species
AGAUUGAACGCUGGCGGCAUGCUUUACACAUGCAAGUCGAACGGUAACAGGCCGCAAGGUGCUGACGAGUGGCGAACGGGUGAGUAAUGCAUCGGAACGUGCCCAGUCGUGGGGGAUAACGCAGCGAAAGCUGUGCUAAUACCGCAUACGAUCUAUGGAUGAAAGCGGGGGACCAAAGGCCUCGCGCGAUUGGAGCGGCCGAUGUCAGAUUAGCUAGUUGGUGGGGUAAAGGCCCACCAAGGCGACGAUCUGUAGCUGGUCUGAGAGGACGACCAGCCACACUGGAACUGAGACACGGUCCAGACUCCGUACGGGA